rnacentral:rRNA from 1 species
ACUGCGUGAAGUCGGAAUCGCUAGUAAUCGCGGAUCAGCAUGUCGCGGUGAAUACGUUCCCGGGUCUUGUACACACCGCCCGUCACACCAUGGGAGUGGGUUUUACCAGAAGUAGUUAGCCUAACCGUAAGGGGGGCGAUUACCACGGUAGGAUUCAUGACUGGGGUGAAGUCGUAACAAGGUAGCCGUAUCGGAAGGUGCGGCUGGAUCACCUCCUUUC